rnacentral:pre_miRNA from 1 species
GCGUGGAAGAGGAAGAAAAGAGGGCCUAGGAGCAAUGGGCAUGGGAACAUAGAGGAAGGCCUAGGAGGCAGAGUCUUCCUGAUGCCUCCCAUGCCUAUUGUUCCUAGGUGCUCCUUCCACUUCCUUUCAGCU